GGUGAGUAAUGUCUGGGGAUCUGCCCGAUAGAGGGGGAUAACCACUGGAAACGGUGGCUAAUACCGCAUAACGUCGUGACUGGGAAAACCAGGACCUUCGGGCCUCUCACUAUCGGAUGAACCCAGAUGGGAUUAGCUAGUAGGCGGGGUAAUGGCCCACCUAGGCGACGAUCCCUAGCUGGUCUGAGAGGAUGACCAGCCACACUGGAACUGAGACACGGUCCAGACUCCUACGGGAGGCAGCAGUGGGGAAUAUUGCACAAUGGGCGCAAGCCUGAUGCAGCCAUGCCGCGUGUAUGAAGAAGGCCUUCGGGUUGUAAAGUACUUUCAGCGGGGAGGAAGGCGAUGGGGUUAAUAACCCUGUCGAUUGACGUUACCCGCAGAAGAAGCACCGGCUAACUCCGUGCCAGCAGCCGCGGUAAUACGGAGGGUGCAAGCGUUGAUCGGAAUUACUGGGCGUAAAGCGCACGCAGGCGGUCUGUUAAGUCAGAUGUGAAAUCCCCGGGCUUAACCUGGGAACUGCAUUUGAAACUGGCAGGCUUGAGUCUUGUAGAGGGGGGUAGAAUUCCAGGUGUAGCGGUGAAAUGCGUAGAGAUCUGGAGGAAUACCGGUGGCGAAGGCGGCCCCCUGGACAAAGACUGACGCUCAGGUGCGAAAGCGUGGGGAGCAAACAGGAUUAGAUACCCUGGUAGUCCACGCCGUAAACGAUGUCGACUUGGAGGUUGUUCCCUUGANGAGUGGCUUCCGGAGCUAACGCGUUAAGUCGACCGCCUGGGGAGUACGGCCGCAAGGUUAAAACUCAAAUGAAUUGACGGGGGCCCGCACAAGCGGUGG
rnacentral:rRNA from 1 species